rnacentral:rRNA from 1 species
AGCAGCCGCGGUAAUUCCAGCUCCAAUAGCGUAUAUUAAAGUUGUUGCAGUUAAAAAGCUCGUAGUUGAAUUUCGGGGUUAGUAGAUUGGUCAUGCCUCUGGUAUGUACUGGUCUUACUGAUUCCUCCUUCCUGAUGAACCGUAAUGCCAUUUAUUUGGUGUUGCGGGGAAUUUGGACUGUUACUUUGAAAAAAUUAGAGUGUUUAAAGCAAGCUAACGCUUGAAUACAUUAGCAUGGAAUAAUGAAAUAGGACGUUCGAUCCUAUUUUGUUGGUUUCUAGGAUUGACGUAAUGAUUAAUAGGGAUAGUUGGGGGCAUUAGUAUUCAAUUGUCAGAGGUGAAAUUCUUGGAUUUAUUGAAGACUAACUACUGCGAAAGCAUUUGCCAAGGAUGUUUUCAUUAAUCAAGAACGAAAGUUAGGGGAUCGAAGACGAUCAGAUACCGUCGUAGUCUUAACCAUAAACUAUGCCGACUAGGGAUCGGAUGAUGUUAAUUUUUUAAUGACUCA